rnacentral:misc_RNA from 1 species
AACCUUAUGGACCUGCGGGCGUAUACCUGCGGAAGGAUCAUUACACAAUAACAUAUGAAGGCUGUACGCGGCUGCGCCCUCGGGCCAGUUGGCUGAGGCUGGAGUAUUUAUUACCCUUGUCUUUUGCGCACUUGUUGUUUCCUGGGCGGGUUCGCCCGCCACCAGGACCACAUGAUAAACCUUUUUUUAUGCAGUUGCAAUCAGCGUCAGUACAACAAAUGUAAAUCAUUUACAACUUUC